GCAGCCUGAGAGGCAGCAACCCUGACGAACCAAAGGUGAAACUGAGGCGACGAUCGCACUGAGAGAAUAAAGCAGCAACACCAGCGCACACUUUCCCUCCCAAAGUUUUGCUCUGAGAUCAAGCAGACAGCAGAUAGCAUGAUGGGGAAUCUUUACCAAGGAAAUACUUUCAAUUCUGAAUAUCAUUUGAGCCCUGCGGUCCUGCUAAUUCCCCCUUAGGUUUGUCUCUCAAAGUAUCGGCUGCUGAUUUAAGCUCCAGUAAUCUCAUUUACUAGUAGUGAUAAGCGUUGCUGGUCAGCUCUUUGGGCCAAAGCAGCCAAAUAAAAUUCAUGUUUACAGAACAUUUUCCACCUUUGGGAGGCAGCGAGACAGACACCCAUUAACCUUCUGAACCCUAAGUAGUUUCUCAGUGUUUUUUACUCCCAUUUUUACUCACUGUGGACUCAUUUUUUACUGUAAUGUGAAGUUCUAAACCUCUAUUGAAACACAACAGCCAUGGAUAGACGUAAAGAGAACUCAGAAAUAUCAUUUGUGCAGGAGAACAAAGUUAUUCGCCAUAAGUCAUAGAAAAGAAAAAACAAAAGGAUAAGAUUUUAUUUACAAAAAGUGGAAAAACCUGAAAUCAACAUGUACAACAUUUUUCCAAGUGCCCAGCAGUGGUAAAAAUGUGUCUCUACAUGCUAUAAAUAUUUUACUGCUGACAUUUUUCAUUAGUUUCAACAUUUAUCUACUCUUUGCUCUGUGUAAACACUGACUGCAGUUCCUGAAUUUUUGACUGUUUUAAAUGUCUUGGUGGUUACACCAAAGAGCACAGAGUUGUUGUUUUUUACAGAAUAUGCUUUAAACAAACCAUUUAUUUUAGACAAAUUGUUAAUGAGACAUGUAGAAUUGAGUGGUUGUGAUAAAAUGUCACCAUUAUAAGCAAAAAUUUGCUGACGGAACAUCACAUAUGAUUAGUUCAAGGGCCGUCGGAAAGGUGAAAAUCCAGCAAUUCUUUCUCUUUGUAAAGUUUCUGAGUAAUGGCACUAUUUUGUGGAUUUAAAAAAAGAUUCCACACCUUUCAAACCCACUGGUGAAUUUUGGGGUUCAGAGAGUUAAUUAAUUAGCCACAGUGUUUCCCAAACUUGGUAUCAAGGUCCCAUAAUGGGUCACAGGAUGGUUUAACUCGUCUAUUAUUGAGAAAGCAACAGCACAGACAUUGGAGUGCGUGACACCAAAGAACCGGUUCUCAGUUAAAGCCAGAAAUAUGAUCAUAUCUGACAAAAUUAAAGGGCAAAUGUUAGGAAACAGCGAAGAGACUUAGCAGAUACUGAAAGUGAAAGUCGCUCUUUAGGAUCCUAAAUCAGAAUAUCUGUAGAAAACUUCUAAAAUACACAUGAAACAUAUUGAAAGUUGUUUGGAAUUCCUUCCCAGCCACUUUAGCCUGAUGUUAUAUUAUUAUUAAGAUUAUUGUGGCUUGUGAAGUUUUCAAACCCCUCAGAACUAGAUAGGGGAAAAGUGCGCUUGGUGUGUUGCUGCUUCCAGUCCGAAUGUCGCCUCAGUCUGCCUGGCAGGUAGAACAUCUGGGCAAAAAACAACAGCUGCAUAAACACAAUCAGUCUAAAUGAAAAAUUGUCAAAUUAAUGAAGAAAUUUCAGGUGUUUCCUGAUUAAAAAUGACAAAACAACUGAAAGAAAAGCCUUGUUUUACUGGCCAGCGUGUUUCAUACGCUGCAGAUAAAUUUUCUUCGUGUGUUUGGAGUUUUGAUCAGUGCAGCAUUUAGUGAGAGCACCUGAACGCAGCACACGUUUGAGCUCCAUUCUGCAGCUGUGGUUUCUGCUCAGAUUGUGAAGGUUGUAGAAAUCCCUGCGCUCUGCAGCUCUCCAACAGCACCGCAGGAAGCUGCAGCGCUGCAGCGAGAACACGAUGCAUUUCUACGACUUCCAUGUUCGUCAAACUGCCUGCCGGGCAGCACGUUAGGGUUGCUGUCUCUCACGGGAGAAGAAUUAUUAUUUAUUUUUUUCAACUUUUCGUUCCCUUUUCUGACAAUGCGAACUUUUGUUAAGAGACUUCAAGAACUUGUUCAGACAGCUUGUGAAGCUCAUGGAGGAGAUGCUGUGUUAUUUCUGUGGAGGAGGAGGAGGAGGAGGAGGAGACCCAGGAGAGCUGAAGGCUGUGCUGAAUCGAGACGAGUCGGUUCCCAGCGACUCUCCGUUGUCCUGCCAGCCCAGCCGUUGCUUAGUAACUGGUGUUUUCAGUGCCAGCUGAUGUCUGAAUCGCCAGGCGUCUCACCACACAGCCGAUCGGCGCUCAGCUCUGCCUGCAGCCAGCAGAUCAGAAGACACUAAACAAUUAACCACCACAAAGGCCACAUUUGUGCUUCAGCUGUUUGUUGGGCUGAAAACCGACUGCAGCUGAGAGUCACACUGGUUUACUCAUCCACAGCAGCAGCGAAGCCCCUCAGGCGACCUGCUCUGACUCCGCUGUGAUGGGCUUCAUCGUGGUCGGAGGUCUGUCGUCAAACCUCUGAGCCGAGCGGCGGUUUGAAGUCAGCGGAGAUGAAAGACCGCUCCCCUCUGGGCUUCUUCCCGUUGGGAGGUUUGAACGCCUCACUUCCUGCAUGGAUGGAGACGCCGCAAACAGCCAUUGACAACAAUCCAAUCGUGACCGCUCUGGAGUCUCACGGCGGCUCUGCUGGGGAUCCCAAGCCUCAGACUGAGCCAAUGACAGUCCUCCCUUCUCCAAACCUGUUCAAUCUGUAAAAGUUCCUCUCUGGAGGGGUCCUUCCUGCCGGGAGGGCGACCGAGCCUCCGCCUGAAGUGAAAAACACCGACAGGAAGUGAGGAUUUCUGUGUUUUCCUGAAGCCUGCUCGUCCUGCUUGUUGAUCCUCUGUUGAUUGAUCGCAGCAGGAUCAGGUGGAAGGUGGAUCUGAAACCUCCACCGCUGAAACUGCGGAUGGAUUUUUUUUUUUUUUGUUAAAAGUUUUUCCUUUCCUCAGUUUUUUUGGGAACUUUUAUGAGAUGUGGGGCUCCGUCUGAUCCCAGGCGAGGCCUUCCCAGACAUCACAGGCGGAAUAUGAAAAAGCAGUUUGGAUUUUUUGCCCAGCAGGACACCGUCGGCACACAACUGAGGAUCACUGAAGAGUUUCCUUUCCAAGAUGUUGCAUCCAUUUAGGAGAAAAAUCAGCUCGGCUUCACACUCGUCCUCCAAAUGCCUCUAAUUGCAGACUUUCUUUGAGGCUUUUCGUCAUUUUUAAACAGUGUUUUUGUCGGUGUUAUGUCGCCCGCUGUGCUUCAGAGACGCUCGUGAUUUCUGUAUAGACUUUGUAAAACAUGGCUUUAGAUUUGUUUAGUUUUCCCUCUAAAGCAUAUUUCAAAUGCUGCCACAUGCCACACUCACCUCACAUUUACGGCUGCUGUCAUCUCUGAGCAGCUACAGUCUGAGUGGAGCCUCUUUACCCAAACCCCAACCUAAAAUCAGCUUCAGUCAAAUUCCUGCCCUAAAUGUUGGAAUAAAGUUUUGAUCCAAAAGCAGCAGUUCGACGUCCUGCAGCUCUGAUUUCUUCUGGUUUCAAUCAAAAACAAAAUUAAAAAUUGGUAAGAAUUGCUAAAAAAGUGGUUGACAGUAAACUGUCUGGCUCCCCUCAGACGUCACUAAAUUGUGCUUUGUUUUAAUGGAAAAAAACAGGGCUUAUUCACAUUUUUGUUUUGUUUUUAUCUGAAGAAAUUAUUCUGAAGAAAUAUUUCAUUUUGUCAAAAAACUCCAUGGACAUUUAGCCAAAUGAUUUCCACUGAUCGCUUGUGGAAUUGAAAUUUUAAAAAAUAGGUUUAAAAAAAUCAGAUUUAGGCUCAAAAUAUGUAAAUGUACAAUGUGUCCCAAAAGCAGCUGCUUAUUGUUCAUCUGUUUUUUGAAUUAGCCUAAAAUAUUUUAUUGAAAAUUAACACAAAAAAGCAAAAUUUUAGUUCUGCCAUGAACCUCAAUCAAACAAGCACCUGCUUAUGUGCUGAAUUUUAAUAAAAGGACUAAAAGGAUUAAUUAAAAGGAAACAUCCAAAUAUUAAUUUUUAAAAAACUCUAAAUCAAACUUUAUCCAAAAAAACAUUGACAUUUGCCCAAAAGCAGCUGAUUACAGCUCAGAAUAGGUUCAGCUUUUUUUUGUCAAUAUUUGGAUAAAAAAUGGAUUUACUCAAACUUUUCUCAAAUAACAGCCAAAUUUUACCACAAAGUUCUGAAAAAAAAAGUCUAAAUUUUGACAGAGGUUCAGCCAGUUUUAUAAUGUAGUAUUAUAGCAUCUUUUAUCAUUUUUGAACAAAAAACAAUCAAAGAUUUCCUUUUCACCACAUCUCUGUCCAAACUGUUGACAUUUUCAUCUAAAUUUGGACAAAAGUUCUGCUUUUUUUUUCUUCUUUUGUCCAAAUCGAAAUGAUAAAAUCUUCCCAAUGCAGCUGCUUUGAUUUACUUUAAAAUCUGCAGUUGGUGUUUUCUGUCUUUUGUCUCAAGUUUACAUCGCUGAAAAAGCCUCAGCUUGUUUUCCCAUUUCAGCUUCAUCCAAACUGUUGUUUUUGUUUUAAUUUGUCAGAAUUUGUUUUUUUUUACUCUGAGUCUAGAUGAAGAUGUGUUUGUUCCAUAUGAGGAUAAAAGCUCCUUUCAGAUUGGCUGGAUGGAGCUGAUGAGACGCCGUCAGCUUUAUUUUUCCAGAAGCUGGAUUUUGUGCUCUUGAACGCAGCUCUUCAGUCCUCCUCACACAUCAGCGUGUCUGAGGUGAAGUGAAAAUCCUUCAAUCUUUUACUGAGAAUGUGAAGUCCAUGCUGAUACGCUUCUGUACUUCUAUACUUGUGAGGUUCAUUCUGGGCAUAUUUUAUUUCCUAAAACUUAAAAAAAAAAUAUUAGUCUUAACCCAAAGACAUGACAGAUACACAGUACACUACAGAAGUGAGUACAUCUCUGUGUGAUAUGACUUAAAUGUAAAACAAUUCAACAUUUUAUGACCUCUCACUAACUGCAUUUCAAGUUGAACAGGAGGUGUUUGCUCUGAUGUCAAAUUAAAAACCGUUGAGCUUUACUGUGUUAAAAAUACAUGACGGAUAGUUUAGACUCAAUGCACCAAAACUCUGCCGUUCUCUUAAAAAUACCACAAAGUUGUUCUGUUGGAUUCAAGUCAGGCAACAUACUUCUGUCAUUUUGGCAAUGUGGUUUGGAUCGUUGUCGUGCUGAAAUAUUCUUCUUCUGCCAAGAUUCUGCAGGCUGGGAGUCGUCAGCCAGCAUUAUAGUUUAUCCACUGAUAUUCAUGGCUACAUCUAUAAAUAUCAUCUCCUCAAACAUCUCUUGCACUCAUGCAGCCUCAUAUCAUCACACUCCGUGCUUCACUGUCAGGACUAUGCAGUCACUGUGGCAGUCCUGGUUGAGUUCACACCAAACAUGCUGGACUCCAUCUGUGCCGAACAAGUCUAUCUUCAUCUGACAAAAGAAUGUUCUCUUAGCAUUCAUCAGGCUUCAUUCCACGUUCUUUAUUGAGGUAUUUUUGUAGUUUUGUGUUGAAGAGCAUCAAAAGUUUUUUUGUUGGAAGCCAUUUAUAGAGACUGAUAUUACAAUUUUUUUAGUUUUUGGGAUCAAAAAGGAAAACUUAAAACUUAAUAGAUUUUUAAAUUCAGUCAAAUUUAUAAAAUAGAUAGAUAGAUAGAUAGAUAGAUAGAUAGAUAGAUAGAUAGAUUCACUUAGAAAUGUCCUUAUUUUUGAAAGAAAAGCAGUUUUUUUCAAUGAAGAUGACAUUAAAUGAAUCAGAAAUACAGUCUAGACAUUGUUAAUGUGCUAAAUGACUAUUCUAGCUGGAGACGGCUGAUUUUUAAUGGAAUAUCUACAUAGGGGCACAGAGGAACAUUUCUAGGAACCAUCACUCCUGUGUUCUAAUGUUGUACUGUGUUAGCUAAUCAUGUUGCUAGACUAACUGAUGAUGAGAACACCUUUGUGCAGUUAUGUUAGCACAUGAAUAAAAGUGUGAGUUUUCAUGGAAAACAUGAAAUUAUCCGGGUGACCCCAAACUUUUGAAACAGUAGUGUAUAGAUAUAUAACUGCAAUUCUUGCAAACAACUUGCCCAAUGAGCUGCUGCUUGCAUGUUAUUUUAUUGUUUUAAAGUUAAAUCAAAAAGAACAUGUCCAAAUUUGUACUUCAAAAAUUCUAAGUUUUACCAGAAAGCAGCUGUCUGUCUGUUUUCUAUGGCGACAUUGUGAAAGCAGUGCACAGUCUCAUUUAUUUCAGAUCACUGCAACCCUGAUUAGUGGUACUACGCCUCCUUCUAAACCUCCUGAUUACUGCUGCAGCUGUGUUUCCACUACUUUGUAGUUGGUCGCCGACUUUCCUGACUCCCUUCUCAAAGUGAGAUUUUUUAGUUCCUCUGGCAACUCUUUUCCGUGUGGAGCCAUGAUGUAGUCAUACACAUGGACAUAAUACACAGAUCACGAACUGAGACAGUGCUGAUGUUUACGGCUCAUUUUUGAACCAGGUUCAUGCAGUUAGACUGAUUAGAAAUCUCAGGUUAGUUCAGAGAUUACAGGUGUUCUAACUUGUGUUUUCAGAGAUCACAGUUAUGUUCACUUUUGUUGUACUGAACUUCACCUUUUGGGCCUGUAUUUUUUAUAUUACCCUUCUGAAGUAUUUGUUUUUUAAAAUUCAUAAGAGGAAAUAAUCUCCUGUUCAACUAUUGAGAGGUGAUAAACUUAUGAAUCCUUUGACUAUGUAGUGAUAUUGCACAGGAAUGUACUGAUUUAUGUCAUACAGAAAAAAGUCCUACUGUACAAAUAGAUUUAGACUUUCUAGCUUUCCUUUUUUGAAACAGAAAAUGUUCCCACUCUUUUUUAAGUCUUAAUUUAAGCCAAACAUGACUGACUUAUAAAUUCUGUUUCUGUUCUGCUUUAACAUAACGUCCAAACAUUUCCAUCCUUUACAGAAACGCCCUGACAGCAGCAAACGUCGUCGCUGCAGAUGUGCGACGCUCUGAUUCGUCCUCACAAAGAUAAAAGUGCAAACAUACACUUGAUGUUAGUCUGCCCCACAGUGAGGACACACGCAGUAUGAUAUGCAGUCGAUUCCGCCUCACAUGCACGUCUUUGAAGCACACACACGCUUAUGAACACCACAUGCACUGAUGCAGUGGAUCAGCUGCCUGUUCGUCCGCACACAAACACUCUCACAGCGACUCACUGCCGAACUAAACCCUCCUUUUCCCCUCCUUCAUCCCCGUUUGUCUCUCAGACUCUCCCCCUUUACCCACUUCAUCUCGCUCUCCUCCCUCUCGUUCAGUUUUUAAUCUCGGCUCGACAGGUGAAAUACAUUUGAGUUGCAAAGGCUUAUAAAAAAGUAAAAUAGUGAUAAAGGCAGAAAAUAACUCUCUCUGUGAGUAAGACGUCUCACUCUGUCUUAUCUCCUCACCACCCUCUCGUCUCCCCCUGAAAUAGCUAAAACUCUCAUUACUCUGCUGUCAGCUGCUGCAGAAGGGACAAUCUGUGUGCAGGCUUUUAUUUAAGUCGCAGGAACUUUAGCAGCACUUUGGAAAGGUGUUUAUAUUUGGUGUCGCACUGUGAGGGCAUACAGGUGAAUAUACCUGCCUCUGUGGUCCGUCUUUUGGGUUAAAUGUUUGUUUUCAGGUUGUUUAUCUGUUCUUAAAGCCAUACAGCCGUGACGGUCUGAAGGAUUCUUUUUGUUGGAGGCUUAAAUGAAAGUGUGGAUGAUAAAUGGAUCAACUGACGAAGCUUCGCUUCACUGAGAUUUAAAUGGGUGGAGAUCAGUCAGUCUGAGCUUUAACAGACAUAAAGUAACCAAAUAUGACGUAAAAGAGCCAAAAAUAGACAGAAAAUGACUUCAAAGAGACGCAAAUGGCCACAAACAAAAUGACUGGAUACAAAAUAACCACAAGAGGCACAAUAUAGCAACAAAGACGCACUAAAUAACUAAAAAAAUGCACAAAAUAACCACAAAGACUCAAACUAAACAAGAAGAGACACAAAAUACCCACAAAGAGACGCAUACAGCCACAAAAUGACUACAAAAUGACCCAAAAUAGCCACUAAAACACAGAAUUGCCACAAAAUUCAAAAUGAGCACAGAAAGACACAGAAUAACCACAGAGACACAAAAAGGUCAAAGGGACAUUAGUGGCCUCAAAAUGACUGCAAAAUGACACAAAACAGCCACAAAGAUGCAAAAUGAGCACAGAAAGAUACAAAAUAACCACAGACACAAAAUGGCAACAAAGACGCACAAAGUAGCCAUAAAGAGACACUAAUAGCCACAAAAUGACUGCAAAAUAUUCAAUUCAGUUUUAUUUAUAUAGCGUCAAUUGCAGUCAAAUUCUCUCAAGACGCUUUACAGAUCCCAUAUGCCUGACUCCCAGAGCAAGCCCAAAGGAGACAGUGGCAAGAAAAACACCCUUUUAACAGGGAAAAAAAACCUUGAGCAGAACCCGGCUCUUUGUGUCCACAGAGACACACAAAAUGGCCAGGAAAGACGUUCAAUGACCACAGAAAGAGACAAUAUAACUACAAAGAGUGACAAAAUGACCACAAAGACACACAAACUAGCCACAAAGAGACACUAAUAGCCGCAACAUGACUACAAAAAGACACAAACUAGCCACAGAGAGACACAAUCAGUCACAAAGAUGCAAAAUGAAAACCAUAGAAACACAAAACGACCACAAAGAAACACACAGAGACCACGGGGACGGUCUAAAGGACUUAAUGUGUUGACUGUUGGACAGAUGAAGUUGUGGGCUGAUGAACGUUUGUCUCCCUGAAUGUUCAGUUGGGGCUGCAGCUCUUCAUCAACAGGUGGAGAUGAGUCAGCGUAGCUCUAACGGCUCCAUUAGCCCCUCAGCUAAAUGACUGAGCUGCUUGUUAAUGUAGCACGAUGGCAAUGACGCCUUUAAUUAUUAUCCGCUUAAACAGCAAACAGGGACGCAUGAAAACAAGGCGCAGACAGACAAGUCAGAGCCAAAUGAGAAAACUCUUAACAGAAUCCAGCUUCCCGCUUUGUCUGCUUUUCUUUGGAAAUGUGACGGCGAAUUUAGCCGAACCCAUCAAGAUAAGAAUGAGAGAGCAGCGAGAGGAAAGAGAAGGCGAGACAUCAAUUAAGCCUCCAUGGCUAAACACAGCAGGCAGAGCCACAGGCCAACUGCAUCCAGCAGCAACAUCAAACGAGCUCGCAGAGACAUUUUCAUUUAUCCAACCUGAGAGGAAGAAACACACAGUUUGGAGACAAAACAGCAACACAAAUGCUGUCAAAUCUGACAGACAGCAGAGAGACAAACGUGGCACACGAUGCCUUAAUCGAAUGUGAGAACACACAGUCGUGUGAUGAGAUGGAGGCUUUUAUUUUUUAGAUUUGUUGUUGGAAAAUUCAGUGAAUGACAAGAGAGAGACACAAAAUGACCAAAGAGAUCAAAUCAACCAGAAAAAGACACAAAAUUCACACAAAGGGACACAGUGCGACUUAAAAUAAUUAUAGAAAUGCAAAUCAUCACGAGACCACCAAUUGGAGAGGCCAAACAAACACAAAGACACAAAAAACAACCACUAAGAAACACAAAAUAGCCUCAAAGAGAUGCAAAGUGAUCUCAAAGAGAUAUAAAAUGACCACAAAAAGACAUAAACUAAUCAUGGAAGUGCAAAUGAUCUCAAGACAAGCACCAGGAGAAGCAAAACAACAACAAAGACAUAAAAUCAACCACAAAGAAAUGCAAAAUCUACCACAAAGAGCCACAAAAGGACCACAAAAGUACUAAUUACAGAAUUGCAAAAGGUUGUGACACAACCCCAGAGACACAAAAUCAACCAAAAAUGGACACAAAAUGACCCCAAAUAGACACAAAAUUGAUACAAAAGUGAUACAACAGAACCGCAAAGAGGCACAAAAUGUCCACAAAGGCAUACAGUAUGACCAUAGGGACACAAAGAGAUGCAAAUUGAUGGUAAAGAAACACAAAACAGCCACAAAAUGACCACAAACAUUCAAAAAAAUGACCACAAACAGACAGAAAAUGACCACAAAAUUAGCACAAAAAGGAAAAGUAAUUAUGGAAGUGCAAAUGAUAAUGGGACAAUCACCAGGAGAAGCAAAACAACCACAAAGACACAAAAUCAACCACAAAUAAACACAAAAUGACAACAAAGACACUAGAGAGGACCACACAGAGGCAUAGAACCAGCAUAAAGACACACAAAAGAACUACAGAAAUGCAAAUGACAGAGACAAAAAAAACAUCCAGAAAGGCACGAAAUGACCACAAAGAGACACAAAACAACCAACAGAGACUCCAAAUGAACGUAAAGAAACACAAAAUGACCACAAAGAUGCAACAAAGAAACUACAGUGACAGCAAAUGACAAGAAAUAGACUUGAAAUCACAACAAAGAGACUAAAAAUGACUAGAAAGAAACAAAACAGCGACACGAGACACAAUCAGCAAAACUUUUUUAAACAGAACCUUUCUUUAAAGUCAAAUAUAUACGGGAUGAUAAAUACAGAGAGUAAAACUCACCAAGAAACAAUUAAAACACCAAAAUAUAUCAGAGUGACUUCUGGAUUUUGAAUGAAUAAAACUGGUAAAGAAAAAACUGACUGAAUAAAACGGCAUUAAAAGUUCUGUAACUGGUGAGGAACAGAAUAAAAGACAGCAGUGUGGAAUUUUUCUUUCUUUCUUUCUUUUUUUUUUUUUUUUUUUUAAACAGAAAUAAAGUCGUCUCUGGGCCUCCGUACAUGGUUUGCAGAACGAACCAACAGCUGGUAGGGAAAUAUUCUUCUUCACAAUUCCGGUGUACAGCACAAGUUAGUGUGUCUGAGCCCUUUAAUUCUGCAGUCUGCCUUUCAGCCAUCUGCAUCCUGCUCUUCUUCCUCCUCUUCCUCACCCAGUGUUCCUCCCACACCUUCAUCCCUCCCUGCUUAUCCUCCUCUUCCUCCUUGCCUUACACUAAGCCUGUUUACAUAGGAUUAGAAACUCCAGCAGCUCCAACGCUGCUGUUUUUACCCUUUAAGGGAGUCGGACUGGAUUUGUGUUUUCUGCUGUGUGUUUUCUUUUCUGUUGUGUGUUUUCUUUUCUGUUGUGUGUGUGUGUGUGUGUGUGUGUGUGUGUGUGAGUGUGUUUGUGUGGCUGCAGCUGUUGAGCCGAACUCUGCCCUGCCGCUGCUGCUUCAACAAACUAUUUGUUUUUAAGUUCUGUACUUAAAGGGAAAAUCCACCCUGAAUCACAGUCAGAAUAACGGACACCAGGAGGCCCCGGGGCCAAAAGCACCACACAGACACACAACGUAACUACAGUGGGAUGCAACACAACAACAAAGAGACUAAAGUGACGGUAAAGACACAAAAUCACUACAGAGAGACUGUAAGGCAAAGUAACUACAAAGAGCCCAAACACAGAGACAAAAAAAAGGCCAUAAGCACAUACAAAAUGACAACAAAGACACCAAAUAACUACAAAGAGAUGCAGCAAACCACAAAGACACAGAAAAGCAUUACAAAAAGACUCAACACAGCUAUAUGGUGGUGCCACAGUAGCAAAAAGAGACAAACUGACUACAAAGUGACAAAAAAAUACCAAAAAGACACACAAAAUGACCACAAAGAGACACUAAAUGACCGCAAAGCGACUCAAAAUGAUUACAAAGAGACACAAAAUGACCACAAAGAGACACAAAAUGAUUACAAAGAGACACAAAAUGACCACAGAGACAUAAAAUGACCACAAAGCGACUCAAAAUGAUUACAAAGAGACACAAAAUGACCACAAAGUGACUCAAAAUGAUUACAAAGAGACAUAAAAUGACCACAAAGAGACAUAAAAUGACCACAAAGCGACUCAAAUGAUUACAAAGAGACUCAAAUGAUUACAAAGAGACACAAAAUGACUGCAAAGAGAAGCAACAAACCACAAAGACACAGAAAAGCAUUACAAAAAGACUCAAAACAGCUAUAUGCCGGUGCCACAGCAACAAAAAGAGACAAACUGGCUGCAAAGAGACAAAAAAAAUACCAAAAAGACACACAAAAUGACCACAAAGAGACACAAUUUUAUCACAGUCACUCUAGUAAUGUUGCAACAGAACUACAAAGAGACAAUCAACAACUAUAGUGUAAUACAAAAGAACUACAAAUAUAGAUGCAAACUGAUCACAGAAACAAACUGACAACAAACACAAAAUGACCAUAAAGCAACACAAAAUCACUAGAACAAGAGACAUCACAAAGAGACUUGUCUGGCCUUUUUAAGAUGGGUUUUCCCUUUAAGGACAGGGUUGUGUUGGAGUUGUGUGUCUCCAGAUGAAACUGUGAAGCCUCUUGUUUUAAAAACUUUUUUUUUAAUUAAGGAGCCGUUUUGAAAAAAUGUCACAGAAACAAAGUAACUGGUGUAAAUUUGCGCUUUUUCCAGGUUUCGUACGGAUCGCGCCUCUUUCUCUCUGCAGUGUUUCAUUUCUCUGGUGACGUUCUUUUUCAAGUCGCAACACAACAACAACAAAAAAAAAUGCAAAGCAGAGCAGACAAUGAAAGCAUCAUCUGUGGUGUUCUCAGUCUGUAUGUUAAUGUUGUACUUUAUCGAUGCAAAGUUUUUAGUUUUGAUAAAGACUCGGAGUCGGUGCUUUGUGGACACGUGAGCUGUUUCAUCUUUUCCCUGUAAAAACAAACCAGAGAAACAAAACUAGAAUGAAAAUAAAUUCAAAAUCAAGUGAAAUUUAAACACCGCUGUAGUCAAAACAGAAAGGAAAGGAGAAAUAUUGGCAACAAAAAAGCGUAAAAGGCUAUUUACAUGUUUUAAGAUGAAUUUUUGAAAGAUAAAAGUUGCAUUAUUACUUCAAUAAAAGUCGGUAAAAGGUAAAUAAUUUCAGUGUUAUUGAUAAAGCAGUUAUUUAACCCUUAGGUGCACAAGUGAUUGGACUCGACACUCUUCCUUAAGUGUCCCAUAUAAGAAUCGAUGUCUUUAAGCCAUUUUUGUCGUUUUUGUUAAGAAAAAUAUUUUACGUCAUUGUUUGUAUCAUAUUUUUUUCCACACAAAAUAAUUCAUGUUUGAAAUAUGUCUAUUUUUCACUUUAUCACAGAUUUUGAACAUUUUCAUGAUUGAAAAAGAGGAAUAUUACACGGAGUAGCAAUACAAAGAUGUCAGCCUCUACUUUGUUUUCAUUUUUCAACAUACUUAGACAUCUAAGGGUUAAAAUAACUAAAUAAAUAGCAAAAACUAAAAUGUCACAUCAUUGCAGCACAGUAAAAAACAAAUUUCAUUUUAAAACAAGAUUGGAAACAAAAUGCGAGUAAUUUCAAAAUGUGAAAUAGCUAAAAAUGAUUUCAGUGGUUUUGAAAGGUUUUAUCUCAAAGCUGUGCAACACGGUGACUCUUUUUUUUAUUUUUGUGUUCUUAUCUGCAGUUUUUUCUCAGUGCAGGUGAUGUGCAGGUUGUGUGUUUGUUGUGUGAUCAGAGCUCCUCUAUAUUUUCUAAGUGGUUGAAAGUUGUCGUGUCCAAACUGAAGCGUAGAUUUUCCUUCCUGCCUUCUGUCUGAGCUCCUUUAUGAGUCCGCGCUCUUGUUUUGUAAAGAAAUAAAACUCACUGUUGGACCAAAACGGA